UGGGGAAAAGAGGGAGGCUCUAGGGGGAUAUUUAUAGGAGAGAGCUAUAGAUAAAUCUAGUUAUUCAUCUCCUAUUAAAAAGGAAAUAGAUAGAAUUUUAAAGGGAUAAAAAUUGGAGUCCUAAUUAAUUGGAAUUAGUUUACCAUGAGAGAGGGAGUCGGGGCUCACGGCUGGCUGGCAGGGAGGAGUUGGAGGUGGCACACAAUCAGGGAGGUGGGGACAGAGGGAUGUGCGAUGGCUUGGGGGUUGGAGGAGUUCGGCCUGGAGG
rnacentral:lncRNA from 1 species